AUGGGCGGAACGAAGCCCAACCCGAAGGCGAGAACCAAUACCCUGGCCCCCAGGGGAUCACGCGGCACCGGGAGGGGCCGUGGCAGGGGCAGGGGCAGGGGCGGGGCGGGGAGGCCCGGGGAGAAGCGCAGCCACGGGCCUCAUCUUCCCAACAAGCUGCGCCGGGAGCUCGAGUCGCUGGGACCUGCCCGCGACCGGGGCUCCGACGACGACGACGACGACGAGGAUGACGUGGUGGGCGAGGACGUGUACGAGUACGAGGAGGGGGUGCCCGAGGAGGAGGCGCGCAAGAACGACCGCUACGACGCCGUCGCCAAGUACGAGUACGACUUCGACAGCGACGACUCCAACGCGGACGAGGAUGUGCCUUCGGAUGAAGGCGAGGAUAUGGAAGAAGAUGAUGACGGAGAUAUGGAUGAGGAGAAGCAGAUAAGAAUACUCCAGGAAACGACAGGAAUGCCUAGAGAAGCCUUCGAUGGCAAUAGGAAGAAGAAGGAGAAGAAACAGGCACAGGAGCUGCUUUUGCAGCCUGGAGAUGGUCCGGUAACAAUUCAUGAUCUCUUGGAUAAUAUCCAGGAUAAGCCUGGGUAUAGCAAGAUACGUAAGAUGGUCCAGCAGCAGGAGAAAAAGCCAAUGGUCGUGCAGCCCCCACUUCCAAAAGGGCAGAGGGACAAGAUGGACCGUAGUGUGGCAUACGUCCUAUCCAAGAAGGAAAUCGGCAAGUGGGAGCGGAUAGUGAAGGACAACCGGGAAGCUGCCACGCUUCGCUUUGAAAAUGAUUUGAACUUAGGUGUCGAUACUGUUGGGGCAAUUGCUAGCAAAUUUGAACCAAGGUCAUCAUUUGAGAAGCAGAUGGCUGGUGUGUUUAACAACACGGAAAUUAUGGAAGCACACAAGAAUGAUGGUGCUAAAAUCUUGGAACUUAACAAGAUGGAGGUGGAGGAUGUGAGAGAGCGUCAAAAUCGUCUUGCUAAAAUGCGCAGCCUUCUGUUUCGUCAUGAAAUGAAAGCAAAACGUGUGAAGAAGAUUAAGUCCAGGACUUACCACCGGUUGAUGAAGAAGGACAAGCUGAAGGCAGCAGACUUGGAGGCAGAUCCUGAAGCUGCAAAAGACUCUGCUAAGAAACUAGAAUUUAAGCGUGCGGAGGAAAGGAUGACACUGAAGCACAAGAAUAAUUCGAAAUGGGCAAAGCGAAUCUUGAAGCGUGGCUUGUCUGUUCAAGACGAUGGCACUCGAGAUGCUAUUACAGCACAACUCCAACAGCAUGCUCUUCUUACUAGAAAAAUGAAUUCCAUAAAAGAUGGAUCUAGUAGUAGUGAUGAAAGUUCUGAUGACGACGACGAUGAUGAAGACGAAGAUGAAAGCAAAUUAGAAGCAAAGCUUCUGAACAGAGGGAAAGAAAAGAUUCGUAAAGUGAUUGAAGAAGAUAAUGAGAUUCCAAAGUCUGGAGUUUUUUCAUUGCCUUUCAUGGAGCGUGCUAUGAAAAAGCGUGCAGAUGCAACUUAUGAGCAAACACGGCUAGAUUAUGAAGAAUUGGAGGAAUCCUUAAGGAAAUUGGAGGAUGACAACACCGAGGAGAAUGUAGAUUCAAUGAAGGUGACAGGUAAAAGAACUUUUGGGCCUGUGAAAAGGGCACAUGAAGAGGCAAACAAGAGGCCAAAAUUAGGUGAUGCUGACAAGAACAGUGACAGUGAGUAUGACUCUGACUCUGGUCAACAUUUCGACAGCAGUGAAGUAAAUAAGAAGGCAGAAUAUGCAAAUAACAAGGCAGAUGAUGUCCAACUUGGGACUGCACUGCUCGACAAUGAACAACAGAAUGAUCUAUACAGCUUUGAUGGUACUAGAAAAAGCCAAGGCCCAAAGACAGACAUUGAAGUUCGAAUGUUAGCCGAUAAUUCGUGGAAGAAGGUCAAAAAUAGCAAAACAAAUGGUGGUAACAAUAUUAAAGAGAGUGGCAAUAAAUCCAAAGUGCAGAUCCCUUCUGUGGAUUCAAACCCUAAGCAGCCUCAAAAUUCUGAUUCAGAUUCUGAGGAAGAGAUGGUUGACGGUUUCUUGACUGUCUCUGAUGAAAAGGAAACUUAUGAACUUCCAUCGCAAGCUGAUCUUAUACGUCAAGCCUUUGCUGGUGAUGAUGUUGAAGCUGAGUUUGAGGAUGAGAAAGUGAAAGCUUUAAAUGAAGAGGAUCCUGAACCUGAAGAACCUGCACUUGUUCCUGGUUGGGGGCAGUGGACUCAUGUACAACAGAAAAGAGGACUUCCUUCAUGGAUGGUGAAAGAACAUGAAGAUGCCAAAAGGAAGAGGGAAGAAACCUUAAAGAGUAGGAAGGAUGCAAAGCUAAAACACGUUAUUAUUUCUGAGCAUGUUGACAAGAAGGCUGAAAAACUUUUAGCAACGAAUCUUCCUUUCCCGUACACCUCAAAUGAUGUGUAUGAAAAUAGCAUGCGUAUGCCUCUUGGACCUGAUUUCAACCCAGCAAUAUCACUGUCUGCUCUUAACCGACCUGCGAUUGUGAAGAAGCCUGGUGUUGUUAUUAAGCCAAUACAGUACGGGGAGAUUGAUCCGCAUGAGAAGCCUGAUGAGCUCAAGCGGGUCAUUCAGAGAGUAAAACCGAAUCCGAACAUAAAGAAGGCCUCUGCGAAACAAGCGAAGAGGACAGCUUCACAUCGGAGGAACUGA
rnacentral:rRNA from 1 species